UUCCUUCCAGGCUCCGGUGGGUAAUUGGGUUGGUGGGUUUCUGGGUUCUGUCUUACAUUAUUUUGCGGCACGGGAAAUGGGGCUCAGCGGUAUUUUACCAAUUGAGCCACUCUUUUUGACUUUUGAGUCUUGUUAAGCUGCCUAACCUGAUCUCGACCUAUCGAUCCUAUUGUCGUUACCUCCGGAGUCGCUGCCAUUAUAGCCGUUAGGUCGCGCGCUCCAGAUCUCUGUUGUCUUACCUAUUGGCGGGCUGGGAGGGAAGAUCUCCUCCCGGACCUAUUCAGUUACUUCUAUUGGGGCUUUGUGAAGGACAAAAUGGCGGUAGCGGGCCGAGCCAGGCGCCCUCCCAGUGAUGAGGACAUUUUCACAGACCUGUGCUGAAUUCCGUGAGGAUAAGUAACUCUGAGGAGACCGGCGCUGCACAGCUUGUGUCCCCUGCGGCCGUUGCUUGGUAGAAAGCAUUUUUAAAAUAUCCUAUACUAAUCUAAUGUUUUGUCUGCAGGGUUAAGGCGCACAUUCGCCACACAACAAUCGAAGACAGCCCUCUGGUUGGAAUGUGCUUCGGCUCAAAGAUGUGUGGUGUUUGGAGAAUGCACGGAGAUCAUCCCUGCAAUUACAGCGAUCCUCCAUGUAGAGAUCGAACCCAGGGGCACUUAACCAGUCCCAUUUUUGUCUCCACAUCUCAUGACCUAUCCUGAGGAAUUUGAUUAUCUCCAAGAGUGAAUGCAGGGUUUCCUGAUAACGACAAAUUUUUCCAUUUUAUGGAGCAACUCAUUUCCAUAUACUGAUGAAAAUACUCCAGCAUUAGCAGGUGCUGUUACCAAUGUCUACUUACUGGUUCAAAGGUCUAGCAUCUUGUCUGGAUUCCAAGAAUGAUUUGAGAGAAAGCAAGUCAUAUCUGCCUAACUUCAACCUGAAGUUAAAGCCCCCAAGUCUGAGGAAAGGCAAGAUGAAGAUAAAUGCAGGCAUCCAUCCAAGUCUUGGAGGACAUCAGAUUUCCAGAUCUUUCCUUGUGCAUCCUAGCUGUUCAAGUUAACACACAAUCAUUUUGAUCUUCCUAAUAAAGCUCUUUUUCUUAA